AUUCAUACAAAAUAAUAAGAAUUAUCUAUUUGCAGAGAAAUAAGUUUAUUAAAGUAAUGAACUUUUGCUUACAAUCGCAAAAUAAACAACUAAUGAGGCCAUAGCGCCGGUGGCGUGAUUAAUACUUAAUUCCGCUUAAUUCCGCUAGGGCAAGAAACAGCUGUCAAUGUACGUACAAUGCAAAUAUAGGUUAUGUGCAGUGUAAUGUAUUUAAUUUACAAAUUUUAAGUGAUGCAACAAUCAAGUGGAUAAUAUUAUUUAUUAAUUUUAAUUUGUUUUAUUUUCUCUCUAUAGUGAUCACCAAUUCGGAAUGAAAAUAGUUAAAUUUGACGGCUUGCUGUGCGAUUCUGCUAUGUCUUAACUUUACAAUGACAUUAUUCUACAUUAAAUUUGCAAUAUCCAUUAAUUUCAAACAUUCUAUUUAUCCAGUUACUAUAACAAACAAUAGUAAGUAAAUUACCAAUGUUCUGUUCAGUUUAAAUAAUUUACCCAGUGAAAUAUCUAUACUAUAUUAUUAUUUAACUCAUAUCAUGUGUGUAGACCUCAGCUUAGAUUUAAAAAUUUUUUAAAUUACAUAUAUAGACUUUUUAAAUAGUUUUACAUAAGUAUGCAGCUCUACAUUUUAAAUUCAAACCCAAGACCAUGACACUCCAAAGAAGAAGUCCCCAUUACACCAUGAGACAAAUGGAUAUAUAUUUCAUUUUCUUAAGGUUAACGCUAUAAAAAUUUGUGUCAUCUAAUUCCUCCUUUGUAAAGACUUCAAGUGAAAUAUUGUGCAAAUAAAGUGCAGAUGCAAUGACAAGAUAUCAUCAAAACUAGAAACCGUUUAAAAGUAAAGACAACAAUCUGAUAGAGCACAAUAUUUUCAAUAAGGAUAAGAAGAAUCCGACAAUACCAUGCAGUAGUAUUCUAUCAAAAGAAUAGAAAAAGGAAUGUGUGCAUCCUUGUUAUUACAAAUUUAAAAGACAUAUAGAAAAUACAUUAUAAUAAGAAUUCUUUUCUUGUACAAAAUGUAUUGCCAAGCCACGUGCCAGAGAUGCCUUGUGAAUCAUUAUGCAAAUAGAAUGCAGCAGCAGUGAAAAGGAUCUAUUAAAAGGCAAUCAUUAUUAUCUUGUAUUAGGAAGAAACCAAUAUUGUAAUACAAUGUUGGAUAUAUUUAUUCAAAGCAUUCAUGUACUUAUUCUUUCUGCAUUGGUGUUCAAUUAAUUUACUGAAAAAGGGAGCAUAUGAUUUUUCAUAAUUUUUCACUAUAAUAAGCAGAAUACAACAGCACUGUAAUCAUGAAAGAUUUUGGAAGACGCUAAGAAAAGUGUUCCGUUCUUAAAUUAGAAAAAAAACCAUGUCUUAUAAAAUUCUAUGAAAAGAAUUGAAGAAGGAAUGCAUCCUAGUUAUUACAA